rnacentral:rRNA from 1 species
GAACGAACGCUGGCGGCAGGCUUAACACAUGCAAGUCGAGCGCCCCGCAAGGGGAGCGGCAGACGGGUGAGUAACGCGUGGGAAUCUACCCUUGACUACGGAAUAACGCAGGGAAACUUGUGCUAAUACCGUAUGUGUCCUUCGGGAGAAAGAUUUAUCGGUCAAGGAUGAGCCCGCGUUGGAUUAGCUAGUUGGUGGGGUAAAGGCCUACCAAGGCGACGAUCCAUAGCUGGUCUGAGAGGAUGAUCAGCCACAUUGGGACUGAGACACGGCCCAAACUCCUACGGGAGGCAGCAGUGGGGAAUAUUGGACAAUGGGCGCAAGCCUGAUCCAGCCAUGCCGCGUGAGUGAUGAAGGCCCUAGGGUUGUAAAGCUCUUUCACCGGAGAAGAUAAUGACGGU